rnacentral:rRNA from 1 species
UACGUAGGGUGCAAGCGUUGUCCGGAAUUAUUGGGCGUAAAGAGCUCGUAGGCGGUUUGUUGCGUCGGCUGUGAAAUCCCGAGGCUCAACCUCGGGUCUGCAGUCGAUACGAGCAAACUAGAGUGUUGCAGGGGAGACUGGAAUUCCUGGUGUAGCGGUGAAAUGCGUAGAUAUCAGGAGGAACACCUGUGGCGAAAGCGGCUCACUGGACCACAACUGACGUGAGGGCGCGAAAAGCUAGGGGGGAGCAAAACAGGG